rnacentral:rRNA from 1 species
GCCGCCGCGGUAAUACAGAGGUCUCAAGCGUUGUUCGGAAUCACUGGGCGUAAAGGGUACGUAGGCUGCCGGAUAAGUCGUGCGUGAAAGGCAGGGGCUCAACCUCUGGAGUGCGCAUGAUACUGUUUGGCUGGAGUGAUGGAGGGGGAACUGGAAUUCUUGGUGUAGCAGUGAAAUGCGUAGAUAUCAAGAAGAAGACUCGUGGCGAAGGCGAGUUCCUGGACAUUCACUGACGCUGAGGUACGAAGGCUAGGGUAGCGAAAGGGAUUAGAUACCCC